GUUUGCCUUAAAUUCAUUAUCAUUGUCUACAUGUCAGCACUUAGUCAUGUUGCAUGCAGUUUGCUUCUUUUUUGUUUUGACGUGUAAUGGAGAAUUUGAGGACUACAUGUAAUAGGCCAUCAAUGGAAAUGUUUAUGUUUGGAUACCAAAUUGCUAUAUCUUUUUAAUUGUGGAACUUAUCGAUCAAUACUGAACUCCUUAUAUAUGUUGUGGAGCCUAAAAAAUACUGCAGGAAGAUUAUUUCACAUUAUAGGACCAAUCUCCACAGAAGAACGCCCCUCCAGAAACUUGAAGAAUGUAUUAGUGUAAUGUGUAUUUGUACAAAUUUGUUUCUGGAAGGUGUUAGUGAGGUAUAUGAUCAAGAGAAAAUUGUUCUAUGCAAGGCCACAAAUCUAUUUUUGCAGUUUCGCUCUCUCCACCCUAUAAUAUUCUAGAAGCUUUAUUAAACAUGUUAUUUAUUUGGUUAAAGAUACAUAUGUUAUUGCGUAUGGCAGGUGAUCUAUGGUGAUACCGACUCAAUUUUGAUUUAUAGUGGACUUGAUAUCACCAAAGCCAAAGCAAUUGCAGGAAAGGUCAUUCAAGAGUUUUGUAGCACUGUGGUUACAGUAUUCUUAUUGGAGAUGACAUGUGCACCAGAUAUUGAUCCUGCACAAUGCAGACAUGCUAUGAUUAUCAGAAGUGAAGGAUAGUAUUAUAAAAAAACGCAGUGUAAAGUCUCAAGAAAAAGAAAUAUGCAGCUGUCAAAGUGCAUUUUAAAGACGGGGAACCAUAUGAGAGGUCAUUGAACGUAAUGGUCUUGACAUGGUCCAUCGUGAUUGGAGUUUGCUAUCUAAAGAACUUGGUGAUUUUUGCCUCAGUCAAAUACUAUCUGGAGGAUAUUGUGGAGUUGAUACAUAGCUCUCUUAUGAAGGUAAGCUAUCAUAUCAUACAUGCAUUACAGACAAAUUUGUCUGGUCUGCUCAAUAGAUUUUAACUAUCACCGGACAUGUGAUGGAUGCAGGUUGUGUUGACGUCAUUUUAGCUAUCAUAUCAUACAUGCAUUACAGACAAAUCCCUCCCGAAGGCUACUAUUUUUUGACAGAAGAUUAUUUGGAACUGAACAUCUUCUGUCACCUUCUUCCUUAUCAGAAAGCACCUGCAUUGCAUCAAUCAGUUCAGAUGAGUACUUCGAUUCAGUGGCCCUGUUGUGUGAUCUGGAGACUGGAAAUACGACUGAAAGUGUCCCAAACAUGCUGAUUGCAGGUUUAAUGUCUUUGCAUCUCAGGGAUCACAUCAGAUGGUUUUACAACCACCACCUUCAAAUCCUCAGCAGUUUAGAAGAACAUUUUGGUACCUGUGGGGAGAUCGCAAGGAUUUCAGCUCCGAAGGAUUAUGACACUGGUGCUUCCAAGGGGUCUGGUAGUCUGUAGAUCUUUCUCUUCUAGUCUUAGUAUCUGUUUCUCCCUUCACCUUUUCUUUUUGACAAUUGUGCCAUAUGUAUGUUUUUCUUACGUUUCAAAAAGAAAAAAUCUUGUUCUUGCAAUAUUGCUUUGAGCUAUGAUGUCUGUUGAGAGCAGCUCUUGUGAUUUGUGACAAGAGCUUGUCAAAAAGCUAUUGUUUUGCUAAAUGUGCGUAGAGAUAUGCUCGUGUUUUUGUUGCUUGUUAGGUAGCUUUUGCUUCACCUUUGUUUGCAAGUCAGCUUGGAUGUUUUCAAGACGAAGAAAAUAAAGAUUGACUUCUUGGUUGGAGCUGGCCUUCAGGUAAAGGGGAAGAGGUAAGUACCCAAAUCUCCCCUAUUGUUUUUCGAUUAUCAAAAUCUCAUUGCGAUCUUCAAAAUGAUAAUGCUCCCACAACCUUCUGUUUCAUCAACUAAAUUGUGGCUAGAAUGUCAAAUCCAUUAUUGGAUACUCAGUUUAAAUAUGGAUUGGUCACUCUCCUCUCUUCCUUGUACUAACAGUGGUUUGAUGAUGCUUUCAAAUGGUUUCUUCAUGCUUGUGAGGUUAUGUAACAAAGCUCACUUGAUAGAAAAGUUUGUUGUGUUGAACAUGUCAUACAUAAGUUGCAAACGUGUGGUUGCCCCCUGGCCCAUCUGAGAUAGCACAGUCAAGGCUAUGUUUGGGUUUAGCCUAGAAGCCCAACUAGGACUUCUAGUUGUAGAUCAAAAUUUUCAUCUCUUAAAUAUUCAGUCUUAAAAAAAUCAAUGUUUAACAGUGAGGUUUGCUAGUUCCCAUGCACCUUUGCAGAUAGAUGGACCUGCCAGGAAAUGUGGACUUUCGACGUGUGUAUUAGGUGAGAUCUAUAGUUUUGAUAUAUGACCAAAACUUUGUGUGCCUGCAUAUCAAACGUUUUAUUUGUUGUAUUUGAUUUAUUGAAGUUUAUUGAUUUGAUUUUAUCUUUCCUCUC